rnacentral:rRNA from 1 species
UAACGCGUGAGCAACCUGCCUUGGAGUGGGGGACAACAGAGGGAAACUUCUGCUAAUACCGCAUAAUGUGCCGUGGGGACAUCCCCAUGGCACCAAAGAUUUAUCGCUCUGAGAUGGGCUCGCGUCUGAUUAGCUGGUUGGUGGGGUAACGGCUCACCAAGGCGACGAUCAGUAGCCGGGUUGAGAGACUGAACGGCCACAUUGGGACUGAGAUACGGCCCAG